CCCGCCAAUUCCUUUAAGUUUCUCCGGUUGAUCCUGCCGGACCCCACUGCUAUCGGGAUAGGACUAAGACAUGCUAGUUGAGCGCUUCCAGCCAAAACGGGAGCGCAGCGCACAGCUCAGUAACACGUGGCUAAUCUGCCCUUGGGACCGGAACACCCCCGGGAAACUGGGGCUAAUUCUCGAUAGGUAAAGAACUCUGGAAUGAGUCUUUGCUUAAAAGACGUUUACGUUAUGCUCGUAGAUGUCGCCCAAGGAUGAGGCCGCGACCGAUCAGGUUGUUGGUGAGGUAAUGGCUCACCAAGCCUUUUACCGGUGCGGGCCGUGAGAGCGGGAGCCCGGAGAUGGGCACUGAGACAAGGGCCCAGGCCCUACGGGGCGCAGCAGUCGCGAAAACUUUGCAAUACACGAAAGUGUGACAGGGCUAUCCCGAGUGCCAUCCGCUGAGGAAGGCUUUUACCCAGUCUAGAACGCUGGGGGAAUAAGGAGAGGGCAAGUCUGGUGUCAGCCGCCGCGGUAAUACCAGCUCUCCGAGUGGUGUGGAUGUUUAUUGGGCCUAAAGCAUCCGUAGCUGGCUGAGUUAGUCCCUUGUUAAAUCCACCGAAUUAAUCGUUGGAUUGCGGGGGAUACUGCUCGGCUAGGGGACGAGAGAGGCAGACGGUAUUUCCGGGGUAGGGGUGAAAUCCUAUAAUCCCGGGAAGACCACCAGUGGCGAAGGCUGUCUGCUAGAACGCGCCCGACGGUGAGGGAUGAAAGCUGGGGGAGCGAACCGGAUUAGAUACCCGGGUAGUCCCAGCUGUAAACGAUGCAGGCUAGGUGUUUGGACGGCCACGUGCCGUUCUAGUGCCGCAAGGAAGCUGUUAAGCCUGCCGCCUGGGGAGUACGAUCGCAAG
rnacentral:rRNA from 1 species